rnacentral:lncRNA from 1 species
UGCUGCCCCACCCUCGCAAACCCUACCACUACCACCAAAGGAAGACACAAUAUUAUCACUACCGUGCCUCUCUCUCUCAACCAAACCAAGACCGUGAGACACCGCCGACGAGCAGGAGCAACUAGUUUCCUCGCCGCCGUGCCUCCAUUCUCGCCGUUGUGCCUCCGUUCUUGCUGCCGUGCCUCCGUUCUCGUCGCCAAGGUUUAGAGGUGGGUUUUUCUUCUAUUGUGGAUGAAAUUUGGUGAAUAUAUACUAGGAUCAUAUUGUUAGAUUCUGUAAAAUUUUCAUUACAGUUCGAUGACAGGAGGCCCAUGAAAUCGUCCCUCAAACUGAUUAUGUCGGACGUUUUCACUUAUCUGAGCAGUAAAUUUGUAAAAAUCUGUAGUCAUGGUAAAUGGUGUCCGAUUGAAUUGAAAUUUGGUGGUUAUAUACCAGGAACAUACAUAUAGGUACUGCAAAAUUUUCACUAUGUUUUGAUUAUGGGAGGCCUAUGAAAUCGUCCAUCAAACUGUUUCUUCUGGAUAGUUAGUGAAUCUGAGCAGUAAAUUUGUAAAAAUCUGUAGACAUAGUAAAUGG